rnacentral:rRNA from 1 species
UACGGAGUAGAUCAACAGGGAUUGCCCCAGUAACGGCGAGUGAAGCGGCAACAGCUCAAAUUUGAAAUCUGGCCUCCGGGUCCGAGUUGUAAUUUGUAGAGGAUGCUUUUGGCGAGGUGCCUUCCGAGUUCCCUGGAACGGGACGCCAUAGAGGGUGAGAGCCCCGUCUGGUCGGACACCGAGCCUCUGUAAAGCUCCUUCGACGAGUCGAGUAGUUUGGGAAUGCUGCUCAAAAUGGGAGGUAUAUGUCUUCUAAAGCUAAAUAUUGGCCAGAGACCGAUAGCGCACAAGUAGAGUGAUCGAAAGAUGAAAAGCACUUUGAAAAGAGGGUUAAAAAGUACGUGAAAUUGUUGAAAGGGAAGCGCCUAUGACCAGACUUGGGCCCGGUGAAUCAUCCAGCGUUCUCGCUGGUGCACUUUGCCGGGCACAGGCCAGCAUCAGUUUGGCGCGGGGGAAAAAGGUUUUGGGAAUGUGGCUCCCUCGGGAGUGUUAUAGCCCAUUGCGUAAUACCCUGCGCCGGACUGAGGUACGCGCAUCGCAAGGAUGCUGGCGUAAUGGUCAUCAGCGACCCGUCUUGAAACACGGACCAAGGAGUCGUCUUCGUAUGCGAGUGUUCGGGUGUCAAACCCCUACGCGUAAUGAAAGUGAACGCAGGUGAGAGCUUCGGCGCAUCAUCGACCGAUCCUGAUGUUCUCGGAUGGAUUUGAGUAAGAGCAUACGGGGCCGGACCCGAAGAAGGUGAACUAUGCCUGUAUAGGGUGAAGCCAGAGGAAACUCUGGUGGAGGCUCGCAGCGGUUCUGACGUGCGAAUCGAUCGUCAAAUAUGGGCAUGGGGGCGAAAGACUAAUCGAACCUUCUAGUAGCUGGUUUCCGCCGA